rnacentral:rRNA from 1 species
GAUGAACGCUGGCGGCGUGCCUAAUACAUGCAAGUCGAACGAAACUUCUUUAUCACCGAGUGCUUGCACUCACCGAUAAAGAGUUGAGUGGCGAACGGGUGAGUAACACGUGGGCAACCUGCCCAAAAGAGGGGGAUAACACUUGGAAACAGGUGCUAAUACCGCAUAACCAUAGUUACCGCAUGGUAACUAUGUAAAAGGUGGCUAUACUACCGCUUUUGGAUGGGCCCGCGGCGCAUUAGCUAGUUGGUAGGGUAAAGGCUUACCAAGGCAAUGAUGCGUAGCCGAAUUGAGAGGUUGAUCGGCCACAUUGGGACUGAGACACGGCCCAAACUCCUACGGGAGGCAGCAGUAGGGAAUCUUCCACAAUGGGCGAAAGCCUGAUGGAGCAACGCCGCGUGGGUGAAGAAGGUCUUCGGAUCGUAAAACCCUGUUGUUAGAGAAGAAAGUGCGUGAGAGUAACUGUUCACGUUUCGACGGUAUCUAACCAGAAGGCCACGGCUAACUACGUG